rnacentral:rRNA from 1 species
UACGAAGGGGGCUAGCGUUGCUCGGAAUUACUGGGCGUAAAGCGCACGUAGGUGGCGACGUAAGUCGGGUGUGAAAGCCCCGGGCUCAACCUGGGAAUUGCAUUCGAGACUGCAUUGCUGGAGUACGGAAGAGGAGGGCGGAAUUCCCGGUGUAGCGGUGAAAUGCGUAGAUAUCGGGAGGAACAUCAGUGGCGAAGGCGGCCCUCUGGUCCAGUACUGACACUCAAGUGCGAAAGCGUGGGGAGCAAACAGG